UCCGUAGGCGGUUUUGUAAGUCAGUGGUGAAAGCCCAUCGCUCAACGGUGGAACGGCCAUUGAUACUGCAAGACUUGAAUUAUUAGGAAGUAACUAGAAUAUGUAGUGUAGCGGUGAAAUGCUUAGAGAUUACAUGGAAUACCAAUUGCGAAGGCAGGUUACUACUAAUUGAUUGACGCUGAUGGACGAAAGCGUGGGGAGCGAACA
rnacentral:rRNA from 1 species